rnacentral:rRNA from 1 species
CAAGUACCGUGAGGGAAAGUUGAAAAGAACUUUGAAGAGAGAGUUCAAAAGUACGUGAAACCGUUUAGGGGUAAACGAAAAAGAACUGAAAAUCCGAAAAGGGAGAUUCACGUCUUCUCGUAUGUUAAGAAUAGUAUAUUUUAGGAUAACUAAUGGCCUAUACUUAUUGUAUUAGUGUUAUUAAUUGCCUAAAUAUAUUAUGACUAGCAACGGUGGACCGCACUUCUCUCUUAGUAGGACGUCGCGACCCGCUAGUUAAAAUUCUAAGUUCAAACUUUUAAUGAUUUAUUAUAUUAAAAUUUUUUUUUUAUAUAUAUAAUAAAUUGGUUUGUUUCUGAUUUAUAUGCUGGCGGUAUAAAACGACAGUGAUGAGCCGGUUUUUUUAAACCGUUUAAUAAAAUUAAUAAUUAUUAAUAAUAGUAAAUUAGGAAUUUUAUUCCUUUAUAUUUACUAUAAUUAGUAUUAAUUUAAUUUAAACAGUGCUUGCAACACUAGUCGGCGGCGCUACAGUUUCAGUAACUUUUUCGACCCGUCUUGAAAC